rnacentral:rRNA from 1 species
GGCCCCGCACACCGGCCUCGUGGCGCUGGCGCGCAAGUACGGCCCCGUCAUGCACCUGUGGAUGGGCACCUGCGGCGUGGUGGUGGCGUCGUCGCCAUCGGCCGCGCGGACGCUCCUCAAGGUGCUGGAUGCGCGCUUCGCGAAUCGGCCGGCGGUGGCCAGCGCGGCGGACAUCACGUACAGGCGCUAGAACAUGGUGUUCGCCGACUACAUGCCCAAGUGGAAGCUGAUGCGGAAGCUGGGGAGCGUGCACCUGCUCGGGCGCGCACGGACUGGGCGCUGGUGGUGCCGGAGGUGCUGGUGUGCGCGCUUGCCAACAUCGUGGGGCGGAUAAGGGUGAGCAGGCGGGUGUUCGACGCGCAGGGCGACGGGUCCAGCAACUACAAGGGGAUGAUCAUGUCGCUGCUGACCGGCGCGGGGCUCUUCAACAUCAGCGACUUCGUGCUGGCGCUGGUGUGGCUGGACGUGUAG